GCUGCGUUAGCUCAGUGGUAGAGCGGGGGAUUGCAGCUAUGCUGAUCAUCCUCAGGUCUUGUGUUCGAACCACAAACGCAGCU
rfam:Blumeria graminis f. sp. hordei DH14, WGS project CATH01000000 data, contig: 004951